AUUGAACGCUGGCGGCAGGCUUAACACAUGCAAGUCGAGCGGAGAUGAGGUGCUUGCACCUUAUCUUAGCGGCGGACGGGUGAGUAAUGCUUAGGAAUCUGCCUAUUAGUUGGGGUCAACAUUCCGAAAGGAAUGCUAAUACCGCAUACGUCCUACGGGAGAAAGCAGGGGAUCUUCGGACCUUGCGCUAAUAGAUGAGCCUAAGUCGGAUUAGCUAGUUGGUGGGGUAAAGGCCUACCAAGGCGACGAUCUGUAGCGGGUCUGAGAGGAUGAUCCGCCACACUGGGACUGAGACACGGCCCAGACUCCUACGGGAGGCAGCAGUGGGGAAUAUUGGACAAUGGGGGGAACCCUGAUCCAGCCAUGCCGCGUGUGUGAAGAAGGCCUUAUGGUUGUAAAGCACUUUAAGCGAGGAGGAGGCUACUGAGACUAAUACUCUUGGAUAGUGGACGUUACUCGCAGAAUAAGCACCGGCUAACUCCGUGCCAGCCGCCGCCGUAA
rnacentral:rRNA from 1 species